GGAUGAAGGACGGUACAUUUUACUCUAGUGACAAGACGACAGUUUUCUAAAAGGAGAAGCCAACACAGACGCAAGAAAAGCCCGAUGGCAAAGAUGACUGAUUAUCUUCCAUAUGUAUUGAUGAAAUGAAGUAUUCUUUAAAACA